CAAGAGUCGAGCGCAGUAAACAAACUCUCAGCAACAACCCAAUUGUUGUCAAUGAACUUAUAAAGGCUACUGGACGUCCUAUAAGUAAAAAAAUUUAAAAUCGAUCACCCGAUAAGCAAAGUUAGGAUUGCUCGAGUAUGGUAAUGGAUGAAAGAGAAAAGUCGUGUUAAUUCAUAUGUGAGCAAAAAAGAAGUGGACUGACAUGUUUUUAACGAAACGUAAGAA